AAAAUUGUACUACAGAAUAAUGAUUUUGGCCGUGUAAGACAACUGGAACCUAGCUUAAAUAAUUGCCACUUUUCUCUCCCCUAAGUGGCCCUACUGGUUGUCUCCCUAUACUGUGAUCAGAGUGUUUGUCUCGCCCGUAGGCAUCUCAUGGGCUGAGAAAGGCCUGCAAGCAAAUGCUGCUUCCCAAAUAUAAAGGGGCAAAGAAUCUAUUGGAAUCCAAAGAAUCCACUGAUGGCUCGGGGAGAUUGAAGAAUACCUGGCAAGGACGUUAUAUCCGGUUAUGAUCAAAUAUUCCCUUUUCAAUAAAUAGAAAACGCGAGACCUUUUGUUGUUGUCUUUCAACUUAGGAUGUGAUUUAGGUGAGUCAA